UACGUAGGGUGCGAGCGUUGUCCGGAAUUAUUGGGCGUAAAGAGCUUGUAGGCGGUUUGUCACGUCUGCUGUGAAAAUCCGGGGCUCAACCCCGGACUUGCAGUGGGUACGGGCAGACUAGAGUGUGGUAGGGGAGACUGGAAUUCCUGGUGUAGCGGUGAAAUGCGCAGAUAUCAGGAGGAACACCGAUGGCGAAGGCAGGUCUCUGGGCCACUACUGACGCUGAGAAGCGAAAGCAUGGGGAGCGAACAGG
rnacentral:rRNA from 1 species